UGAGAGCUUCAAUCAUUUGUGUUAGCAUUUUUCAAUAUUAUUCCUAGAUGAGACUCGACUUUAUUACCAUCUCAAGCUGCCCUUUUCAGUUCUAAUAUUCUCAUAUUCUCUGCAUCCCAAGAGGCCCCUUUCCUGACAAAGAUAUUUACCUUUGAUAUGUAUAACUUCCUGGACUCUAAAAUACGAUGGUAAAGCUAUUAGCGAACACAGUGGCUUUUAUCUCCUCCAAAGCAGGACUCACACCAUUGCUAACUCCCUUAAGCUAUUCUUCACAUAGCUCCCCUUUAUCCCUGGAUGUGGGGAGUGUUUAUUAGAGACUCUAUCUUGGAUCUACCAGGGGAACUACAGGAUGAGGCCUACAAGGCAUUUUAUUAGCCCAAUAGAUUACAUUCAUGAUGAAGAAGCAAAAGAGCAAGUUGACCUCCUGGGAGACCUCAGUACACCUGGGAGACCUCGGCACACCUGGGAGACCCUGGCACACCCACAGCACCCUUUCCCACUGGAACAGGAGUGAGAGGCCCAGGCAGGGGAGGGACCUACCUUUUAAAAGUGGGACUUCCAGAUCAGAGAAUGACUAGGAUAUGGAAUAUAUACCCACACUUCUUUUUAAAAAGGAUAUGUCAAUUGACAGUGCAAUAAGCAAAGAAAAAGAAUAAAACUGAAACUGGGCCACAUGGACUAAAUCAAUGGACUAAAAAUAUUUGAGAGCUAUAUUAAUGCACGAAUGGACCUGUUUGGGACUUCAAAGGAAAAAGAAAAACUUUCUAAGACAAUUAUGAAUUUGUGAACACUGCCAAUACUCCUGAUGACACCAAGAAGUCUCCUGUAACCUUCUGUGGGGUGCUAUGGUACCACGGGCUUUCCAUUCUGUACCUUGUGAACAAGCAUGCUGACAUACACAUAAUUACAGUACUAUGUCUGGGAAUCACACAGAUUAAAGUGGCUAUGAAUGACUGGA